CAGUGAAUAAGUUUUGUGCCCUCAAAUCAUCAGUAGAUAGGCACAAUGAGAGCAGUAAAAGCGAGCAGGAUCGAAUUGAUGAUGCUGUUUUCAUGUAUGAGAAGGGUGAACCCUUUGUCUUCAUGCAUUGCUGGAAGCUACUUCGCAACGAGGCGAAAUGGAACAAUAGGUUCCUAGAGACCAUCAGUAAGCCACCAUCUUCUCAAGUGCCACCCGAGGCAGCCAACAGAGAAGGAGCAGGGCUAAUAAGCAAGCUGAUUACAGUUCUAG